GUGCGAGACCGAUAGCGAACAAGUACCGUGAGGGAAAGAUGAAAAGAACUUUGAAAAGAGAGUUAAAGAGUACCUGAAACUGCUGAAAGGGAAUCGAAUCGUUUCCAGUGUCUUAAUCCAUUGCAUAUUUCAUUGGCGAGUUGAUGCGUGUGGUGUUUAUGACAGUAGCUUGCUGCGUCUUGCAUUAUUCUGCGUUAACUUGCUUGUGCCCUGUGCGGUGGUGUGACGUCAAAGUCAGUUUGUAUGCUGCGGGAAAUGGUUAGUUGAGGAGGUGAGUUGAGUGCUUGCACUUGGCUGUUAUACCUUGAUUAACUAGUUGUCGUGGUUGAGACUGAGGUGCCUACAACGUGCUUUUAAGUCUUAUAAACACUUAUCUGGUUCACUGUUUGGAUAGCUUGCUAUGCUAAUAGUUGUAUCGGGUGAUUGUGUUUGCAAGUAACUGUUGCUGUUC
rnacentral:rRNA from 1 species